GGGAAAGAGCGAGAACGAGAGACGGAUGAGUAUUUAUGAUUGUAAGUAUCGCAGGAUGGAUGAACAGACACUUAUAAAAUGAAGAAACUCGUUGUUUGAAACUAUUUUGCUAGAGGCAGAAUUAAAAAAAAAUCUUAAUCAAUUACGGAUUCUUCAAAUGCGCAUCAAGUAGGGAUCUACGCCAGAUGAAGAAUUAACGCAUUUUCCAAUGUAAACUCAACAUUUCCGAGUCAGAACGGUGCGUAGGCGAUGCACGCUGUUAAUGUGAAUGGACUCCGUGUCUCUCUCCUUUUGUUAACGCUGUUUUCAUCAAAUUAGCGCAGCCCCUACUACGCUGCACCCCCCUUUUCGGACGGCCAGCAGACAGCUAAGGACCUGGGUUCUAUCUAGAAGAGAGACCGCUCUCCUGUGGUCGAAAGCCUGACCUCUCACCUCUCAUUCCCCGCUCUAGGAGAGGAUCUCAUCGGUAUGAAAGCACCAGAAACAGCUAUUUUGUAGGGAACCCGUCUGGCAGGGAAGCAGCAACAAAUCCCCGUUUUCAGACUGUGAUUUUGGGGGACGCGGGCUCGCGGUAGGGGGGAGGGGGACCUCGCGUAUCACAAUGGAAUUAGAGUUUUACAAUACGUCCCCAGUGCGCUAAGGAACACAACCUUAUUCCGUACACUACUGUACUUUACCCUCUCAGCUGAAGUCUUUUUUCCCCUUAUUUUUUUAAACCACCAAAUCCGUGAUGCCGCAUUUCGUGGGGUGAAGGUGCCGAACGCGAGGAAAAGGAGAGAGAGAAGAGAGGGAAGGACGGAGGAGAAAGAGAGAUUCGGAGAGCAUGGAUCUUGCAACGUUGUCUCUCUGUGUGCUAACUCUCACCUGGGCAAACUUGUACCAGGUGUGUGCCAACAGGCACGCGGUGCAUUGGAACAGCUCCAAUAUACAUUCCCAUUUAAUACGGCCAGCUCACUGUCUCUCCUCUGCCAGACAGACAGAGGUGGAACAGAUGGAGAGAGAGACCAGAGAGAUGGAAUGGAGGGAGAUAGAGAACCGGGUGAGAGAGGGAGCAGAACCAGAAACGGCUCUUUUCCCUGUCUGUCCAUCUACACCCACUCAUCACCACGGUCGCAGCUGCCUCAGACUGAGAGUGUAUGUCUGCUGCUCCACAGUGUCUGAUGUUAAUGUAGAACCAGGACAUCCAGAAACAGACUACACACUCAGACCAGACAUCAAAAUCCAGGACAUUGAUGAUUUUAACCCUGAGAUUCCUAAACUGGAGAAGAGUGUCAGUGGAAGCAGCCCAUCCAGGGAUCGCCUACUCAUCACCAUAGCGACGCUCCUUCUCGCUGCCAUCACCAUCUCCUAGCAACGGCCAUCCCAUCAGUGUCGCCAUACCAACCAGCCAUGGGUGGGCUUGGGCAGGAGGGGUGAAGGAUGACGAGGACUGAGGAUUUGGGGGAAAGGGGACAGGAGAUUAAGGGAACAUGGAAAAUAGGGAGUUAGAAGACCUUCUGAAUGACAUUGGUUGACAAGGGGUGUGUGUGUGUGUGUGUGUGUGUGUGUGUGUGUGUGUGUGUGUGUGUGUGUGUGUGUGUGUGUGUGUGUUGCUUAGAAGACGACAUUCACACAGAGCAUGAAGAGAAGACCUUUUAUGACUUUGGACAUUGGGCCUGCAUGUGUAGGUAUGUUUCAGAGUGUGUGUGUCUCAACAUGUGGUGGAGGUAGCCUGUUGAAACAUGCACACUGCAUACAGCAUUUAUUACAGAGGAGAAGAGGACCUGACUUUCUAUUGGAGCAGCUGAUCGCAAUGAAACACAGUGACACUUUUUCAUGCAAUCUGAUUGGCUGACACAAUUCUCUUCUUAGGGCUAGUUGCCUGUUUCUUGCACCGGAGACUGAACUGAUUGAACUUGACUGAAAUGAACUCAAUUAUUGCCUUUUUGUUCUGUCAACUGGAUUCAACCAGAUCUAGUCUGGAUCCCUUCUGUGGAACUGGAUCUAGUGGUCCUCCACCCAUGUGAUCUGGUCUGAUCUGGACCGUAGCAGCCUGGUAUGAAAAGCCAGUCUGGAUCCCGGUUUCUGAACUGGGAAGUGGGACCACCCAGUCUAAUGUGAGAGAGGGAGAGGGCGCUACAGUGCUGUAUCAGAGUAGUAAUAUGUGUCAAUACAAUGACAGCUAUAGGUUCCAGGUCAGUGGUUGUAUACAUUGUUAUACACAUUGAUACAACCUCUGGCUCAUCAUUAAACCCCCUAGAGACAUGUUUGUCCUUUAUUCAUUCAUUCCUGGAUAGCAUUAUCUCUGAUCUCAGAGGUCAGAAAAGCACACAGCAAUACUGUCAUCGAAUGCAUUGUAUUGGAUUGUACACUGAGGACCUCUCUUCCUCUCUCCUGGAAUCGGAUGGAAUGGGACUACAUACCACAGACUCUACAUCCUCUCUCCUGGAAUCGGAUGGAAUGGGACUACAUACCAAAGACUACUUCCUCUCUCCUGGAAUCGGAUGGAAUGGGACUACAUACCACAGACUCUACUUCCUCUCUCCUGGAAUCGGAUGGAAUGGGACUACAUACCACAGACUCUACUUCCUCUCUCCUGGAAUCAGAUGGAAUGGGACUACAUACCACAGACUCUCUCCUGGAAUCAGAUGGAAUGGGACUACAUACCACAGACUCUCUCCUGGAAUCAGAUGGAAUGGGACUACAUACCACAGACUCUACUUCCUCUCUCCUGGAAUCAGAUGGAAUGGGACUACAUACCACAGACUCUCUCCUGGAAUCAGAUGGAAUGGGACUACAUACCACAGACUCUACUUCCUCUCUCCUGGAAUCAGAUGGAAUGGGACUACAUACCACAGACUCUCUCCUGGAAUCAGAUGGAAUGGGACUACAUACCACAGACUCUACUUCCUCUCUCCUGGAUUCGGAUGGAAUGGGACUACAUACCACAGACUCUCUCCUGGAAUCAGAUGGAAUGGGACUACAUACCACAGACUCUCUCCUGGAAUCAGAUGGAAUGGGACUACAUACCACAGACUCUACUUCCUCUCUCCUGGAAUCAGAUGGAAUGGGACUACAUACCACAGACUCUCUCCUGGAAUCAGAUGGAAUGGGACUACAUACCACAGACUCUCUCCUGGAAUCAGAUGGAAUGGGACUACAUACCACAGACUCUACUUCCUCUCUCCUGGAAUCGGAUGGAAUGGGACUACAUACCACAGACUCUACUUCCUCUCUCCUGGAAUCAGAUGGAAUGGGACUACAUACCACAGACUACUUCCUCUCUCCUGGAAUCAGAUGGAAUGGGACUACAUACCAAAGACUACUUCCUCUCUCCUGGAAUCAGAUGGAAUGGGACUACAUACCACAGACUCUACUUCCUCUCUCCUGGAAUCAGAUGGAAUGGGACUACAUACCACAGACUACUUCCUCUCUCCUGGAAUCGGAUGGAAUGGGACUACAUACCACAGACUCUACUUCCUCUCUCCUGGAAUCGGAUGGAAUGGGACUACAUACCACAGACUCUACUUCCUCUCUCCUGGAAUCGGAUGGAAUGGGACUACAUACCACAGACUCUACUGCCUCUCUCCUGGAAUCGGAUGGAAUGGGACUACAUACCACAGACUCUACUUCCUCUCUCCUGGAAUCGGAUGGAAUGGGACUACAUACCACAGACUCUACUUCCUCUCUCCUGGAAUCAGAUGGAAUGGGACUGCAUACCACAGACUCUACUUCCUCUCUCCUGGAAUCAGAUGGAAUGGGACUACAUACCACAGACUCUACUGCCUCUCUCCUGGAAUCAGAUGGAAUGGGACUACAUACCACAGACUCUACAUCCUCUCUCCUGGAAUCGGAUGGAAUGGGACUACAUACCACAGACUCUACUUCCUCUCUCCUGGAAUCAGAUGGAAUGGGACUACAUACCACAGACUCUACUUCCUCUCUCUUGGAAUCGGAUGGAAUGGGACUACAUACCACAGACUACUUCCUCUCUCCUGGAAUCGGAUGGAAUGGGACUACAUACAGACUCUACAUGCCAAACUCUUCUGUGUAUUUUACCGUACACACUAGAACUAGAAUCACUCUGUGUGUGUGUGUGUGUGUGUGUGUGUGUGUGUGUGUGUGUGUGUGUGUGUGUGUGUACUGACAAUACACACAGCAACAUACUGUACAUGUCUUAAGUUUAAGUAACUGAACAAACCAAGUGUAUCUGAACAUAUAGACAACCCUAAAUAAACCUUGGGUUUAGGUUCUACAUACAAACCCAGUGUAUCUGGGAGGACAGGAGAACAAUGGGUUAAACUUUAUCCUACAGUCCUCUAUUGACAUGGUAUUUUCCUAAAACAGGUUUCUUUGGGAUCAUAGAAACAAUCAUUUUGGCAGUUACCCAUUGUAUAGGUACCAGAAAGUACAUAUUGUUGCCAUUACGUCUUAGUAAAUACUAGGUAAAUACUGUCUGAAGGAGGACUGUAAAAUGAAGUGUUACUGAACAAUGUGAACUGUACUGACCUGUUACCAUGGUUCUUGACUAACUCUUUUCACUAGAAACUGUCACCUUGUGGGCCAUGGUAACACCUUACCUUACUGCAAUGUGUACAGGCUGUCUACUGUAGUAGGGCAUGCAUGGCUGACUGUAGAAGCUCUGAAGAUGAUGAUGAUGAAGGUAUGGAUGGCCUAUCGGAUACAGAGCUGACGUCUGACCUAUAGGGGUCAAAGAGGUCGCACGUCUUGACCCGUGUCACAGACAUUCUAGAACUUUCACGCGUCGAGAAUGGAUUUUUCAGAUGUCUUGAACUCUGACGGAAUGAAAUGUGAUGUAAGCAUUUUUACAAACUUGAAGCUGAAUUUCCUUGUUGUGUUUGUAUUUUUUAUUUUGCUGUUGUGUAUCUUGGGGCGCUGGGAAGGGGUAAACGUUGGGAUGACUGGGCUAGAGACAUGCAGUACUGUAUAGGAUAAGGAGUUCCACUAACGUUGGGAUGACUGGGAUAGAGACAUGCAGUACUGUAUAGGAUAAGGAGUUCCACUAACGUUGGGAUGACUGGGAUAGAGACAUGCAGUACUGUAUAGGAUAAGGAGUUCCACUAACGUUGGGAUGACUGGGAUAGAGACAUGCAGUACUGUAUAGGAUAAGGAGUUCCACUAACGUGGUUUGAGAUUUACAAUUUCAAUAAGCACCGUGUUGCACCAAAUGUUUCCAGUCCGUCACAUUGGAAUGAUACUGUCAUUGAAACGUGGUGCCGGCAUGGAGGACAGUUGGCUGAGAUCAGUAUGUAUACAGUAUGUAUGGCUUUGUGGUGGGGGGGUGAGAUGGGGGUCUGGGUUCUGCUAGUGAAGUGUGUGUGUGGGGGGGU
rnacentral:lncRNA from 1 species